rnacentral:lncRNA from 1 species
CUGAUGUCAUAGGAAUGUAGCUCGGCAACCUUCUCUCUCUUUAGUCGCUCUGUUACGCUGACUGUUGCUAAAGAAUGAAAGGAAAUGGGUGGGAGCGAUUUUUCCUUCAGUGCUUCAGAACUGCUUUGACAUGGAACAUAGUUCACACAGAACCUAUUAGUUAACUUUGACUAAGACCAGACAGAGAGGAACGUAUAGGAACUGAACUCUGUACCUUCAGACAGGACCAGACAGAGAGGAAUGUAUAGGAACUGAACUCUGUACCUUCAGACAGAGAGGAAUGUAUAGGAGCUGAACUCUGUACCUUCAGACAGGACCAGACAGAGAGGAAUGUAUAGGAACUGAACUCUGUACCUUCAGACAGGACCAGACAGAGAGGAAUGUAUAGGAGCUGAACUCUGUACCUUCAGACAGGGCCAGACAGAGAGGAAUGUAUAGGAACUGAACUCUGAACUCUGUACCUUCAGACAGGACCAGACAGAGAGGUACGUAUAGGAGCUCAGUAAACUCUCUGUACCUUCAGACAGGACCAGACAGAGAGGGAAUAUUCGGAUGGAAAGGUUGAUGAUCUCUCCCAUGGAAAUAAAUUACCCAGAUUUCCUGAGUUAAUGUCAAAAUGGCUGAGUGAUGGGGGGGGGAUCCCACUAAUGAUGUUAUUCAUAAUUCAUAAACUGUUUCACUGUUACCAAGUCUUGUUACUGUAGAAUAAAGAUCAAAGUGAAUAGCAGACUGUUAUUAGAAGUCAACGUCGUCUCAACCACAAUGACAUCUAUAAUGGUUUCCCAGAAGACCGGACUGGGGCACAAUAAUGUACUGUGGUUAAUCUCCCUGGACUGUGUGGGUCUUCCACCUGGUAAUCUACCCGUGGCUGUGUCCCAAGGGCCUUCCCCCUGGUUAUCUCCCUGGGCUUUGUACCAAGGUAUUUCCACCUGGUUAUCUCCCUGGGCUUUGUACCAAGGUAUUUCCCCCUGGUUAUCUCCCUGGGCUUUGUACCAAGGUAUUUCCACCUGGUUAUCUCCCUGGGCUUUGUACCAAGGUAUUUCCCCCUGGUUAUCUCCCUGGGCUUUGUACCAAGGUAUUUCCACCUGGUUAUCUCCCUGGGCUUUGUACCAAGGUAUUUCCCCCUGGUUAUCUCCCUGGGCUGUGUACCAAGGUAUUUCCCCCUGGUUAUCUCCCUGGGCUGUGUACCAAGGUAUUUCCACCUGGUUAUCUCCCUGGGCUGUGUAUCAAGGUAUUUCCACCUGGUUAAUCUCCCUGGGCUGUGUAUCAAUGUAUUUCCACCUGGUUAAUCUCCCUGGGCUUUGUACCAAGGUAUUUCCACCUGGUUAAUCUCCCUGGGCUGUGUAUCAAUGUAUUUCCACCUGGUUAAUCUCCCUGGGCUGUGUAUCAAUGUAUUUCCACCUGGUUAUCUCCCUGGGCUGUGUAUCAAUGUAUUUCCACCUGGUUAUCUCCCUGGGCUGUGUACCAAGGUAUUUCCACCUGGUUAUCUCCCUGGGCUGUGUACCAAGGUAUUUCCACCUGGUUAUCUCCCUGGGCUUUGUACCAAUGUAUUUCCACCUGGUUAAUCUCCCUGGGCUGUGUACCAAG